rnacentral:rRNA from 1 species
GCUUACACAUGCAAGUCGCACGGNUCUUUCGGGAUUAGUGGCGGACGGGUGAGUAACNCGUAGGGAUCUAUCCAUGGGUGGGGGACAACUCCGGGAAACUGGAGCUAAUACCGCAUGAUACCUGAGGGUCAAAGGCGCAAGUCGCCUGUGGAGGAACCUGCGUUCGAUUAGCUAGUUGGUGGGGUAAAGGCCUACCAAGGCGAUGAUCGAUAGCUGGUUUGAGAGGAUGAUCAGCCACACUGGGACUGAGACACGGCCCAGACUCCUACGGGAGGCAGCAGUGGGGAAUAUUGGACAAUGGGGGCAACCCUGAUCCAGCAAUGCCGCGUGUGUGAAGAAGGUUUUCGGAUUGUAAAGCACUUUCGGCGGGGACGAUGAUGACGGUACCCGCAGAAGAAGCCCCGGCUAACUUC